rnacentral:ncRNA from 1 species
UUGUCAUGCACGCGACUUAAUGGGUAGCAGUGGUCGCAUCACCGGCCCAUCCCAUGAUGUGGUCGUUGGAAAGUCGUGGAUCAUACUGUGGUCUGCGUUAGAGCCGGCGCGUCAUCGAGGUGGAGCAGGAGCGUGCACGAUAGGACCCGAAAGAUGGUGAACUAUGCUUGCGUUGGUUAAAACCAGAGGAAACUGUGGUGGAGGACCGCAGCGAUUCUGACGUGCAAUUCGAUAGACAACCUUGAUUAUAGAAGCGAAAGACCUAUCGAACCAUCUAGUAGCUGG